rnacentral:lncRNA from 1 species
GACAUUUCAAAAUCAAGGAAAAAAAUUAAAAGCAUCGCUAUAAUCUAAAUAACAACAAUCAAUCAAUGAAAAAAAUCCCAAAUCAUAAAAAACCCAAUAACUUGAUUUUCUAGAUAAGUUCAGAUUUCCCCCAAACUCCAAAUUUGAAACAAACAAGCACCAACCACACAAAAACUUCAUCAGAUUCAAUUUGCCAAUACAAAUUAACCAAAUAUCUAAAGAGAGAGAAAACACAAACAUCCAGAGGAGUUAGGUAAACUUCCAAAGUACCAGAGGAGUUAGGUAAACUUCCAAAGUACCAGAGGAGUUGAGCGUUGAAAUAAAGUGUAAGUUUAUGUUUUC